rnacentral:lncRNA from 1 species
CCCCUCUGCGGGAGGUCUGGGUCUGACAUAGCCUCGGCCAGUCACAGCCUGCUUUAGAGGUGGCCGCAGGAGCGGCAGCACCAUGGCGGCCAUGCCGUUCGUCACCGAGGGGAAGUGUGUGAGUGUGGAGUGGGACUUCCUACAAGGACUCCUCGCCAAACCGCCCACCCUGCCCUGCUUACAAAACCUGCGGAAGGAAAAGUCCCGAAACGCAGCUCGAUCUCGCCGCGGGAAAGAGAACUUUGAGUUUUUCGAGUUGGCCAAGAUGCUUCCCCUACCCGGUGCUAUCACCAGCCAGCUGGACAAGGCCUCUGUCAUCAGACUGACCAUAAGCUACCUGCACAUGAGACACUUCGCUAGCCAGGGGGACCCACCAUGGAGCCCCCUGAUGGAAGGGGAGAAUAACUGCAACAAGGUGCGGAGAAGCAGUCAUUCACUGGCUACUGACAUAUUUGAGCAGCACCUGGGAGCACAUCUGUUACAGUCUCUGGACGGGUUUGUGUUCGUUGUCAGCCAAGAAGGAAGAUUCCUCUACAUCUCUGAGACCGUUUCCAUCUACCUGGGCCUCUCGCAGGUGGAGCUGACUGGCAGUAGUGUGUUUGACUACAUCCACCCUGCAGACCACGUGGAGAUGGCAGAGCGCCUCGGAAUAAAGCCACACCUCCGAGCAGAGGCGGGCUGUCAGACGACUCAGGAAAGCAUCUCAAGCUCCGCCUCCACUUCUUCCCUGGCUGGCACACCUGAACCAGCUCCCUCUAGUCCUCUCUCAUCCGGGGAUGAGCUGGCGGAGCGAGGUUUCUUUAUCCGGAUGAAAUCCACCCUCACAAAGCGCGGACUCCAUGUCAAAUCCUCCGGUUAUAAGGUGAUCCACGUAACAGGCCGCAUUCGCUGUCGCCCCGCCCUGGUACCAGGUUCCUCCCGCUCGCUUCAUCGACCAAUGGGAUUGGUUGCCCUUGCUCACACCCUCCCCCCCUCCACUCUCAAUGAAGUGCGCAUGGAGAGUCAAAUGUUCGUCUUCCGGGUCAAUAUGGAUCUACAGGUCACCUACUGUGAGAACAGGAUCUCGGAGUAUAUGGAUCUGAGUCCUGCUGAGGUGGUGGGACACACCUGCUAUCACUUUAUCCACGUGGAAGAUUUGGACACCAUCCGACAGAGCCACGAAGACUUGCUGAGAAAGGGGCAGGUUGUAACUGGUUACUAUCGCUGGCUGCAGAGGAGAGGAGGCUACCUAUGGGUCCAGUCCUGCGCCACUGUGUCCAUCAACCACAAAGCGCCACACGAACGCAACGUUAUCUGGGUCAACUAUAUACUCAGUCGCACAGAAAUGCCAGACACACCACUGGAUUUACUACAACUCCCAGAAACCCUGCGAGCCGAGCGUCUGCGGUCGAACUCCUCUCCUCGGGACAUCUCUCCAAAGGCACAAGGCCCCACUGGCACCCAGCCAGCAAAAGGCCGGAACGAUCCCGAGCGCAAAGGAAGAGAAUCGUACGCUCACCCAACUGUUAGCCAGUCAGAGGACAGGAGGAAGAGGCCCAAUCGUUCAAGCCCUGAAAACGGUCCCCCAGAAACAAGGAGGCGGCUAGAAGUGUUCCGGCAAAGAGAGGGCAGCCCGUCAGGAUCAUCGGAGCCAGUUAGCGACAGCGAGGCCGACGAGGAAGAAGAAGAGGAAGAGAAGGAAAGCGAGUGGGACCAUAACGGCAACAGCAAGAGGGUGAAAACCGAGGAGGGCGUGUCCAAGCAGGCCAGCAGGGUGAGCAGUCUGGAUAAAGCCCAUAAUGGCCGUGCUGUGAUUCAGCAACUGAAGAGUGUGGUCACCAGCACGGCUGGGUCAAACAUUAAAACUGAGCGCUUGGCUUCCAGGGGCCGAUGGAGCCACCCUCUGACCGGUGCCCAUGUUUCCAGUGGCUUAAAUGGUAGUAGCCCCCCUUCUCAAGUUCCAGACUCAAUCGCCAGUGAGGUCCCAGCCAAGGGUCUUUUCAGCCCCCCCUCUCCCACCGUGUCUUCACCCAUCCCAGCGUCGCCCCUGCCCAGAGAAGAACGCCCCAUCCACAGCGCUCGUGCCCCAGACUACGAGCUCCUCCAGAGACUGGCUGCAGGCGGGGCAGCUGGACGUGUCCUCUUCCACCCGCUGGCCCUUGGCCCUCAGGGCCCUCAGAGCCUCUAUGCCCCAAGCACUAUUCGCUACGCCCCACCAGAGCUUCCCACCGACAGCCACCGCACUGACCACACCCCCAAAUCUCCCACCUUCUUCCCCCACUUGCAGAGAAUUGCGGGGCUGCCACCCUUCAGCGGCUUUUCGCCCUCUGAACCUCCGUUUCAUCCAACGCUGCCCUUCUGCAUGAACGGACUGAGAGGGGCAGCAGGGACGGAGGAGGACUGAGAGAGCAGGAGGUCGAAUGUGGAGAAAGAAAAAGAGAGAGAAGUAAAGGUCUGAUCUGUCCAUGCUGCAUCCAAAUGUGCAUCUUUUUGCAGCAACUGUUGCUAGCUGGUUCAGUCAUUAGAUCAUCAGAUUGUUAGGAUUAUCUGUUAUUUUAAAACAAAGAGAAAAGUGGGUGGAACCUUUAUCCCUUGUGUUGUCUUAAGAAUCACAAAUGACACACCACCACCAUGUUUAUCAGCAGUAAAAAAAAAAGUGUGAAAUGUUAAUCCUAUUAACUUUUCCUAGAUUGCCCCCAACUUUAGAGAAGGUAAAACAACAUAUUUGUCCAUACUUCAAAGCAAGCUGUGCACCACAAUGAAAGAAAAGGUAUAUAUACUGUAUAUAAAAUUUUAGAGUGGGGCAGAGGAGACCCUUACUCUUUGAAAGGGGAGAAAUUGUUAGGUGGGUAAUUUAUUCUCAACAUUCUCAACAACCACAGAAAGCUGGUUAAGGGGGUUCGAAAAGGUUUGAAAUCUUUUUUUUUUACAACAGGGUUUUAAUGCUUUUAGCAGUGUAUUAAGUGUUAAUAGCUCUGAUCCAAUACCAAUUGAAGCUACAGAGUAUGUUUUUAUAGCUGCUAUAAGCAGUAAAAAAAAAAAAAAAAAAAUGACUGUGCUCCAUUAGUUAUCGGCCCCAUCAGUUAAUAUGUGGGCAUUAUGUUUGUAUGUAUUAUUUUUUUAUGUUUUUUUUAUCCCUGACCAAAAUGAAUUGGCCAUUCAUUAGUUUUUCAUUUUUGCAUAAAGAAUAAAAUGGUUGGAAGUAGGUGAGAAGUAGCA